UACGUAGGUGGCAAGCGUUGUCCGGAAUUAUUGGGCGUAAAGCGCGCGCAGGCGGUCCUUUAAGUCUGAUGUGAAAGCCCACGGCUCAACCGUGGAGGGUCAUUGGAAACUGGGGGAACUUGAGUGCAGAAGAGGAAAGUGGAAUUCCAAGUGUAGCGGUGAAAUGCGUAGAGAUUUGGAGGAACACCGGUGGCGAAGGCGGCAUCCUGGACCGGUAUUGACGCUGAGGCGCGAAAGCUAGGGGAGCAAACGGGG
rnacentral:rRNA from 1 species